GGAAUCUUGCGCAAUGGCCGAGAGGCUGACGCAGCGACGCCGCGUGUGGGAGGACGCCCUUCGGGGUGUAAACCACUGUUGCCCGGGACGAACAUGAGCAUUCGUGCUUACUGACGGUACCGGGUGAGGAAGCACCGGCUAACUCCGUGCCAGCAGCCGCGGUAAUACGGAGGGUGCGAGCGUUGUCCGGAAUCACUGGGCGUAAAGGGCGCGUAGGCGGCAGGCCAAGCGUGGGGUGAAAGUCCGGGGCUCAACUCCGGAUCGGCCUUGCGGACUGGCCUGCUCGAGCACUGUAGAGGCAGGUGGAAUUCCGGGUGUAGCGGUGGAAUGCGUAGAGAUCCGGAAGAACACCGGUGGCGAAGGCGGCCUGCUGGGCAGUGGCUGACGCUGAGGCGCGACAGCGUGGGGAGCAAAC
rnacentral:rRNA from 1 species